GAUGAACGCUGGCGGCGUGCUUAACACAUGCAAGUCGAACGAGAAGUGAAGACGGAAACCUUCGGGCGGAAGGCUUUAUUUCGAGUGGCGGACGGGUGAGUAACGCGUGGGUAACCUGCCUCAUACAGGGGGAUAACAGUUGGAAACGACUGUUAAUACCGCAUAAGACCACAGCACCGCAUGGUGCGGGGGUAAAAACUCCGGUGGUAUGAGAUGGACCCGCGUUCGAUUAGCCAGUUGGCGGAGUAACGGCCCACCAAAGCGACGAUCGAUAGCCGAUCUGAGAGGAUGACCGGCCACAUUGGGACUGAGACACGGCCCAAACUCCUACGGGAGGCAGCAGUGGGGAAUAUUGCACAAUGGGGGAAACCCUGAUGCAGCGACGCCGCGUGAGUGAAGAAGUAUUUCGGUAUGUAAAGCUCUAUCAGCAGGGAAGAAAAUGACGGUACCUGAGUAAGAAGCCCCGGCUAACUACGUG
rnacentral:rRNA from 1 species